rnacentral:rRNA from 1 species
UUGGAGGGCAAGUCUGGUGCCAGCAACCGCGGUAAUUCCAGCUCCAAUAGCGUAUAUUAAAGUUGUUGCAGUUAAAAAGCUCGUAGUUGAAUUUCGGGGUCAGUGGGUCGGUCGUGCCACUGGUAUGUACUGGCCCUACUGAUUCCUCCUUCUUGAAGAACUGUAAUGCCAUUAACUUGGUGUUGCAGGGAAACAGGACUGUUACUUUGAAAAAAUUAGAGUGUUUAAAGCAGGCAAUCGCUUGAAUACAUUAGCAUGGAAUAAUGAAAUAGGACGAUCGAUCCUAUUUUGUUGGUUUCUAGGGUUGACGUAAUGAUUAAUAGGGAUAGUUGGGGGCAUUAGUAUUCAAUUGUCAGAGGUGAAAUUCUUGGAUUUAUUGAAGACUAACUACUGCGAAAGCAUUUGCCAAGGAUGUUUUCAUUAAUCAAGAACGAAAGUUAGGGGAUCGAAGACGAUCAGAUACCGUCGUAGUCUUAACCAUAAACUAUGCCGACUAGGGAUCGGAUGAUGUUAAUUUUUUAAUGACUCAUUCGGCGCCUUACGGGAAAC